GCUACGGGUGGCAGCAGUGGGGAAUAUUGGGCAAUGGGCGCAAGCCUGACCCAGCAAUGCCGCGUGAAGGAAGAAGGCUUUCGGGUUGUAAACUUCUUUGACAGGGGAAGAGCAGAAGACGGUACCCGGAAAACAAGCCACGGCUAACUACGUGCCAGCAGCCGCGGGAAUACGGAGGUGGCAAGCGGUGUCCGGAUUUACUGGGUGUAAAGGGCGGGUAGCCGGGAAGGCAAGUCAGCUGUGAAAUCUGGCGGCUCACCCUCCAAAUUGCAUUUGAAAAUGUUUUUCUUGAGUACUGGAGAGGCAGCCGGAAUUCCUUUUGUAGCCGUGACAUGCGUAGAUAUAAGGAGGAACACCAGUGGCGCAGGCGGUCUGCUGGACAGCAACUGCCGGUGAGGCGCGACAGCGUGGGGAGCAAACAGGAUUAGAUACCCGUGUAGUC
rnacentral:rRNA from 1 species